UGGGAAUAUUGGACAAUGGGGGCAACCCUGAUCCAGCCAUGCCGCGUGAGUGAUGAAAGCCUUAGGGUUGUAAAGCUCUUUCACCCGGGACGAUAAUGACGGUACCGGGAGAAGAAGCCCCGGCUAACUUCGUACCAGCAGCCGCGGUAAUACGAAGGGGGCUAGCGUUGUUCGGAAUCACUGGGCGUAAAGCGCACGUAGGCGGACCGUUAAGUCGGAGGUGAAAUCCUGGGGCUCAACCCCAGAACUGCCUUCGAUACUGGCGGUCUCGAGUCCGGAAGAGGUGAGUGGAACUGCCAGUGUAGAGGUGAAAUUCGUAGAUAUUGGCAAGAACACCAGUGGCGAAGGCGGCUCACUGGUCCGGUACUGACGCUGAGGUGCGAAAAGCGUGUGGAGCAAACAGGAUUAGAUACCCUGGUAGUCCACGCCGUAAACGAUGAAUGCCAGCCGUCGGGCAGCAUGCUGUUCGGUGGCGCAGCUAAUGCUUUAAGCAUUCCGCCUGGGGGAGUACGGUCGC
rnacentral:rRNA from 1 species